ACACCUCAACUCUCACGGUUUGCCGUGAUGAGCUUGGACUUUGGGGGACUUGCUGGCCUGCGGUCGGCUCCCCUCAAAUGGAUCAGCUUUCCAGUGUUUGGUGGAGUCACAGGUGUGAUAAAUAUCUACACAUGUGGUUUUCUGCCAGGUAACCUUCAGCAAUGGGGGUUUGCUGGGGCUCAUAAACGUCUCUCCUCAGUGAAGACAGCUCUGUGAAA
rnacentral:misc_RNA from 1 species